CUUCCGCAGCCAGGCGGGCGUGGACCUUCCCAAGAUGGCCGGGCUGGGCUCCUAGCGCGCGGUGGGCGGGGUUCCGCCGCCGGAGGCGGGGCAGCAGGGCCGAGGGGUCGGGCUAGCAGGCGUGCGGCUUCUAAAGUAGGCAGGCUCAGCGCGCUUGCGCGGAGCGGCCCUGCGCGCAGUGAGGCAGUGGCGGGGGAAGGCACCGGUGGGGCCGACGGGCGGGCUGAGGAGGGAAGCGGGCGAGCGAAGUCCCAGUGCGCGCCGCGGCGGCCCGGGUACCCUCCCCUUCCGGGCGUGAGGCGCUGAGAGGAAAGCGGAGCGGAGCGGACUCGCAUCGGCAGCGAGGUGCUUCUCGGGUCGCCCCAGACCGGCCUCCCGUGGCUUCGGCGCUCCAGUCGCGGGGCCCGGGUUCCUCAACACACGUAGCUCCAGCCGCCGUCAGAGCUUGUCCCCAGUCCCUCGAAGCCCCGGCGGCAGCCCGGGCUCUUGGCGGGGAGGAUGACGGAGCUGCAGUCGGCGCUGCUACUGCGAAGACAGCUGGCAGAACUCAACAAAAAUCCAGUGGAAGGCUUUUCAGCAGGUUUAAUAGACGACAAUGACCUCUAUCGAUGGGAAGUCCUUAUUAUUGGUCCUCCAGAUACGCUUUACGAAGGUGGUGUUUUUAAGGCUCAUCUCACUUUCCCAAAAGAUUACCCCCUCCGGCCUCCUAAAAUGAAAUUCAUUACAGAGAUUUGGCACCCAAAUGUUGAUAAAAAUGGUGAUGUUUGCAUUUCUAUUCUUCAUGAGCCUGGGGAGGAUAAAUAUGGUUAUGAGAAGCCAGAGGAACGUUGGUUGCCUAUCCAUACUGUGGAAACCAUCAUGAUUAGUGUCAUUUCUAUGCUGGCAGACCCUAAUGGAGAUUCACCUGCAAAUGUAGACGCUGCGGUAAGAAAGAAUGGAGGGAAGACAGAAAUGGAGAAUUUAAAAGAAAAGUUGCCCGCUGUGUAAGAAAAAGCCAAGAAACUGCUUUUGAGUGAUGUUUAUUCAAUAGCUAGUAACUUCAAUUAUUUCAGGAAACUAUCAUUGUUAGCUGUGUGAUCAUAUCACUUCUCUCUGCAAAGUGGGGAAACAUCAUGUGAUGAUUUUACUUAUCCAGGUUUGCAAAACACUUAACACUUCUUGGCACAUCAUAAGCAUUUGAUAAGAUGGUAGUUUUUCUUUUUUUAAUGUGUUCCUUCAAAAAAAUUUUUACAUUUAUUUUUAUUUCUUGUGUUUGAGUAUUUUGCUGGUAUGAAUGUCUGUGCACCAUGUAUGUGCAGUGCCUGUGGAGGCCAGAAGAGGACAUCAGUUACUCCUGGAACUGGAGUACAGACAGUUGUUAGUCUCCAUGUGGGUGCUGGGAACUGAACCAGGUCCUCUGGUAGAAUAGUCAGUGCUCUUACCUGCCUAGUCAUUUCUCUAACCCCUACGUUCUUGAUUUACGUGGUGUUGGAUUUGAGGCUAUCAUUUGUGGGAGCUUCCAUGGGAAAAAUGGCUUUGUAAUGAAUGCAAAAAGUUGGCUAAAAUCAAGCAAGUUAAAAAGUAUAGUAAUCUUAAAUUGUUUUCCUUCUUUUUAUUUAUCUUUAUUUUAUGUGCAUUGGUGUUUUGCCUGCAUGUAUGUCUGGGUGAUAGUGUGAGGUCUCCUGAAACUGGAGUUUAUAGACAGCUGUGAGCUGCUAUGUGGGUGCUGGGAAUUGAACCUGGGUCCACCUGGGAAGGCAGUCAGUGCUUUCAACCUCUGAACCAUCUCUCCAAGCCCCUUAAAUUGUUUUUCUACACAUGGGUAUUUCUGAAUUUCCAAAUCACUUUACUUAUUACUUCUAAAUUUUGUGUGCGUGCAUGUGUGUGUGGGUGUGUUCUGUAUACACAAGUGCAGGUGCCCACAAAGGCCCAACAUUUUAUGUCCCAUGGAUCUGGAAUAACAAGCCACUCAAAUUGGGUGCUGGGAGCCUAACUCGGGUCCUCUGUAAGAACAAGUUGAGCUGUUUACUGCUUAAUCAUCUCCCCAACCCCAAAUUACUUUACUAAUAAUCUAGUUGUGAUUUGUGGAUGUGAUGCAGUUUGAAAAACAUUUGGAGUAUUGAAAAAAAUGAAGUACUGCUGUAAAGUAUGGCUGACUAAUUAAUAUGUUCAUUGCUCAGUGUGGCUGCCACUAGCCUCAUGAGGCUAGCAUGGCAAAGGAACCCAAGUUCACCUAAACUUUUAAAGAUUUAUUUUUAAAAAUUUCUUCAGAUAUUUUAUCUAUAUAUGAGGAUUUUGCCUGCGUGUUUAUAAGUGUGUUAGAAGGUGUCAGUUUCCCUGAAACAAAUGGUUGUGAGCUACCAUGUGAGUGCUGGGAGUCAGAUUCUCUGGAAGAGUAACAAAUGUUAUUAAGUGCUGAGCUAUUACUCCAGCCCAUAAAAUUUAUCUUUUUAAAGACAAGGUUUUGCUGUGUAGCCCUGGCUGGCCUUAAAUUCAUGGUUUUGGGGAUCUCAGCUUCCAGAGUGCUGGGAUUAGAGGUGGGUAUUGACUUCCUAGCCCUUUAAUUUCUUUUAGUUUCAUAAUUUAAAUGUUAAAGUAUAACUAUGUGUGGUUAGUAGCCACUAUAUGAUAAACAAGCACAUGAGUGAGCUUCAAAAUGAAAUUAUGAAUAUAAGUAAUAGUUCUAUUCAAUUAUUUACUUGUAGUUUAUAAAUUUAUUACAUAAUGCUGUUUGUU